rnacentral:rRNA from 1 species
GACGAACGCUGGCGGCGUGCUUAACACAUGCAAGUCGAACGGAAAGGCCCUGCUUUUGUGGGGUGCUCGAGUGGCGAACGGGUGAGUAACACGUGAGUAACCUGCCCUUGACUUUGGGAUAACUUCAGGAAACUGGGGCUAAUACCGGAUAGGAGCUCCUGCUGCAUGGUGGGGGUUGGAAAGUUUCGGCGGUUGGGGAUGGACUCGCGGCUUAUCAGCUUGUUGGUGGGGUAGUGGGUUACCAAGGCUUGGACGGGUGGCCGGUCGGAGAGGGUGACCGGCCAAAAUGGCAACGGGAGACGGCACAAGCGACUCCGGGGGGAAGGAGGGGAGAAUGUUCGACAAGGGCCGGAAGCGUGAAGCAGGAAUGCCGGUGGUGGGACGCCGGUCUUGGGGUGGAAAACCGGUUUGGCUGGAGAGGAAGUGUGGGGGCGGGAAAUGGGUAAAAAAGGACGGGUAAAUUAGUG